CCACAUCACGGAUCUGGCUGCUGAGGCAGGCACACACGGCAACGCCUGCCCCAGCUCUGCAGUGUGACACAGAGCCAACGAGUUCCCACCUGGAGAACAGGGCAAAGGAGAAGACAAUAAGUUUAGGGCAAAAUCAGAUUGGAACUACCACAGGAACACAGAUUCAAACUGUGUGAAGGUAAGAGGGCAAGGGACGGCCAAGAGGAGGAAGAGGGAGGAGGGUGUGCCUAAAUAAGAAUUCCAAGAAGAACCAGUGACGUGAGCAGCACUCCCACAUCGCUUAUGUGAGUAUUACUCAAUUACUGUACACUGCUUCUGUUAUGCUGUGUUCCUUCCAUACAGGCGGAUAUGGUUGCUUUUUUAGGCCAAAUAAAAAAAGAGAAUUACCUGUUAACUAUGGGAUCAAAUGCUUCCACGGUAUUCAGGUAGGCAUUACCGUUGUGACCUCCAACUGCAAAAAUUCUGCCCAUCAGCGUUGCGAUGCCAACUCCCCCCCUCGGGGUUGUAAGCUCUGCGACAUACUCCCAUUUGUCACUGCGUGGGUCAAAGCGCUCCACGGAGGUCAGCGGAGAGUUGUCAUCAAAGCCACCUGCAAAGAGUCAUUAGAUAUUGAUACCUGGCCACUUCCAGUGGUGGUGAUGGCCUAGAUGUGCAUUACACGGCUUUUCUUAGCAUGCAGUGGCCUAGUGCCCCAGUCUGUUUUUAACCAAAUCUUAAAGCCACCUGAACAUUAAUCCAACAGCUCUCUCCACUGUCAGCAAGCUCUUGCAGUACUUUCAAAACAAGCCACUGCUGAAAACCAAAGUAGGAAACAAAUCCUUGAAUAAGACUGAUUUCAGUAAUGCGUUCCCAUUGGUGUGGGCCAGUGAAACUUCUUAUUUCCUAGCUACCACUCCUUCGUUCAACCGUGCCCUCAUGCUUUCUUCUCCUGCACAGGGGCACAUCAUACAGGACAGCUCUGCCCAACACAGUGCCCUGGCCUACUCACCGACAACAUACAGGCAACCAUGGAGCUCACUGACACCAUUGCCCGCUCUUCGCUGCCCCAUCUCUUUCACUUCCAUCCACUUGUCCAAAUGGGGAUCGUAUUUCUCCACACUGGAAAGAGAUGCUAUACCGUCAUUGCCACCCACAGCGUACACAUGGUUCUGAAAAAGUAGCAUAGGGAAAGAUUGUUUAGAAAACGUAGAUAAUAUUUGAAAAGCAGCCCUGAGAGGAAACAAACUCACCAUGAGGGCUACGGAGCCGACUCCCCCCCGGGGCGUGUUCAUGGGGGCUAUCGCACUCCAUCGAUCGGACUCAAUGUCGUAUCUUUCCACAUCACUGAAGCACGUGUUGUCGUCUAGACCUCCUAUUGCAUAAAUAGGGCCCCCAAGGGAAGCAAGAGCAAUUCCUCUCCUAAGAGAACCACAGAAUCAGGGCCUCAGUGCAUAUCCGUAAAGGGGAUGAGAAAGACAUCAGGUGCAAUGGUAACUGACUGGUAAGGCUUUCGAAGUAGUGGGAAAAAAGUAAUAAAAUAAUGGGUCUGCAAUACUGCCCAGCUUCCUAAGUAAGAAAUGUCACAGAAGUCCAGAACUGAACUUUGCCAGAAAGAAGAGGUUCCCUGGCCGUGAAGCAUUUUACUAUACAUGUGCUGGUGGCGCUAUCAUUGUUUAUAAGAGAUAAAAUAUCAGAAAACCACUUAACCAGUUUCAGAAUCUUUAUCUGUUAUCAGAACAUAAGCACAGUUGCAAUGGAAAAGCUUCUCCUCAUUUCUGAAGCCAGCCCAUCCUAAAGAAAAGCCCAAAUAGGAUGAGAGUGGCAUUAGAAAGCAAGAAAGCGUAACCCACAUUAGCAGCCAGGGCCUUUCCCUGGAGAGGGAGAUUUUGUAGUUCUGAACUGAAAUACUUAGUAUAUAACACACGACUUUGUGUUUGCAAACAAUAUGUGCAAAUAUGUGCAAGUAUAUGAGGCAGAUUUUUGUUUGCUCUGCAGAAGAUAAGCACAGCAUUUAAGCCACAACAUAGAAAAAAGAGCCCUAAAAACAGCAGAGUUUGGAAACCCACAUAAAGGCAGAACAAAUGGGUUUCCAGCAGUAGCAGGAGAUGAUUAUCAUGGAGUAGGACUUAAACUUUGUACCAUGUGGGAUCAUGACACACGUACCUCUUUGUGUUCAUUGAUGCCUUAAUCAUCCACUUGUUUGUGAGAGGAUCAAACACUUCCAUGCUUCCUAAAUGUUCAUUCCCAUCAUGUCCACCCACUGCAUAGACUCUACCUGAAAGGCACACACAUAUUUGGAUAUGGAGGUUGCUUGGUAACAUUUCAGUUUUCAUUUACAUGUGUGGGGCAACGAGCCCAAACAGGGUCAUGUUUUUAAAGGUUUUUGAUACCAGGAUUUUAUUAAGGAAGGACUUUGUACUUUUAUAUGCUCUGAUCAACCAGAGAUCUGUUUUAUCACAGAUUUUACACAGAUCCUGAGAUACAUCGACAUGAAAUCCUCCCAUAACUCAAGCAGUGCAGGCCAGGUCAAUUUCAGAUGUUUACCUCAGCUUCCCACAAUUUUUACAGGGAAAGAUUUCCAUUCUGCUGCAGCAACACAGGGGUGACUGUGGACAGAGGGGAGAUGCACCAUGGAUACUAAGCUGCCUGCCAAAAGUUGUGGACCCAAAGAUAAAGGUUGCUCUGUCCUCGGAGACUCAGUGGCUAGUUUGUAUGGAUUUAAAUAUGAAGGAAGCUUACAUGAGAACUAGCAAACUCUGGGUUACUCUGCUGUGCACCUCCAUUUGUUUAGGAAUGGUCUGGAAAUGAUUAAAUCACUUAAGGCAGCAGGCUACGUGCAGUUGGCAGUAAUAGCUUUUCAGUAAGUGUGCUCUCAGAUAUUGUUUUAGAAGGAAAAACCUCUUCAUGGGGAAGAAGCUUUAUGAAAACAAAGAAUACUGAACUGAUAAGUCAUGUAACUCUUUUGAACGAGGUUGCCCGAGUAGGAUUACUGACCUCCCACAGAGAUUACACCCACGUGUCUUCUCCUGCUGUUCAUUUCAGGGCCGAAGAACCAGCUGUUCUUAUUUAUAGAGUAACACUCAAUGCUGCGGAAUGGGUCACCUGAUCCUCCCCUGCCACCAACACAGAACAGCACACCUGGAGGAGACAAAGGAGGCUUCCAUAGAGCUUGCAGAGAAAACAGGGAUCAAAUUCUACACCAGAGUUGACGGCAAACCACAUACUUCAGGAGAAGCCUUAUUUCACUUCAAGGGGGGCAGUAAUUGCCCUGUAUACGGGAUGAUGGCCUUUGGCAUUUGUUUGGCAUGCUUUUAGGACAAUUUAUUGUCUACUCUCUCAUAAAAGCAAGGCAUAUUUUAAACAGGCUUUUUUUUUUUUUCUGAUUUGCUUAGGGAGAAAAACUGAUUGAUUGCUACAUCUUAACUGAAUAUAAGAAUUAGAAUUUGCGGUCUAACAUGCAUGACUUGCUUUUGGUGUUGGUUAAGCAGAGUUUAACAGCCAGCUCAACAUUCUGGCACCAAAAGGUGUAUGUCCACUGGUUUCUGUACAGCUUUCUGCUUACUGCCUGCACGUAAUACCCUUAACAGCUCUAGCCAAUAAGAUUAAAUGCUGCUCUAAACAGAGAAACUGCCAAAAUUCUGUUCAGAAAAUGCAGCCCAUAACCUAAUCACCAGGGGGACAUAAUGGCUUUCCCAGUUACACAUUAACAUCCACUUCCAUUAAGCUGUCUAACCCUAUGCAGAUGCUCUGCCUUUUCUCCACACCACUCCAUACUGGAUAAUCAGACACACAUUUAAUUACCAGCAGUCUGCUUCCUUGGUGUUGUGCGAAUGGAGUAUUCAAAGUCUGGCACUGCCCUGCUGCUCAGGUGAAGGUGGUAGUUUCUUGCUUCAUCCAGCAAAUCCCUACAUUUUAGAUUCUGCUUGACAAUCUCUUCCUUUGCCACAACACCCAUAAGGAAACAAAUGGGCAAGAGAGGCAGUCGUACCUGACAGAAAUGAACACAGUUGAAGUAACUGGCUAAACUGAUCUGACCAUUUAUAGUGACGUACACGUAACGGACUGCGACUUCCAAGCCAGCUGUCAGCCCCACACCCUUCACAGAAUCACAGAAUUGUAGGGGUUGGAAGGGACCUCUAGAGAUCAUCGAGUCCAACCCCCCUGCCAAAGCAGGCUCCCUACACCAUGUCACACAGGUAGGCGUCCAGGCGGGUCUUAAAUAUCUCCAGAGAAGGAGACUCCACCACCUCCCUGGGCAGCCUGUUCCAGUGCUGAAGUUACCCUUCAGUAAGAAGAGCAGCUUUUGUUUUCUUUUCCAGACUAACCCUGAUACAAACGGUUAUUUUUGGUGACAGUUAUUUGCCACAACCAUUUGCGACUGUAGGCAAAUGCCUUUGCAAUGGAGGAUGAAGGGCAGCUGCCCAUACCAGGGGAGUGUGAGCACUUCCUGACCCAGCAGUUCUGGAAUAGCACAUUUCAGAUUAGUGUGGUAAUGGCAAGUUAAUGGAAACCUGUCAGAGUGAACUAAGGGGCAGGAAUCCCCUUCUCUAGGGUGGGCUUGACAGAGCUCACAAUAAAAUGAAACAACCAGUUACAGCUAAUUGCCAAAGUCUGGAGGGAGCAUAGAGCAGCCUGGGUGUCAGAGAGGACUACAGAGUAAUAAGUACAGUCUUUUCAAACAAGACUAUAAAAUGUUGGCAUCGUAUACACAGUGGAAUAUAAUAACAGGAGAAGGUUCAAGACUGUUGAAAAGAUUAAUGUGAAAAUAGUGUGAUGAUGCAGUGACAUAAAGGAGAACUGAAAGGAUGUAACGGUACUGGCAGAUGUUGAUACAGUGAGGUUGCUACUGCACAGAUUUCAGUUUUCCUAAUGGCCAUUGUUACCAAGGUGCUUCUUUCCCCAAAUCCUUCCUAUCCUUCCUCAGAAUGGUUGAUGGUCAGGCACGAUGACGAGGCUGCCUGGGUGAGACCACUACCAGCAGCCACUGCCUGGAACGAUCCCAAGGACAGAGCAGAUCUGAAGUGAGGUCAGCCUCAAUUUCCACCCUGAAAUGUCCCUCCCCAUAGAAUUCAUUUCUGCAAACCUUUCAUUCAUCCUUCUGGGAGAAGCAAUGAGGAAUAUGAAGGAUAAUUAGAGUGGGGUGUCAAAAAGAAGGCCAGCAAUUGUGACAGGUCUGAACAGGGGCAAACUGAAGUAAAGUAGUGUCUUGCUUCUGAUGAGCCCUCAGAUAGCUCCGCAAGGUGCAGGACAAACCCAGCAUAUCAGGAGCUUCUCAGAGAAGCAGAACGGUGCUGUUACACAAAUGUCUUUGACUCUAAGUUGGUCUCUCCUGCAAUUCUUCCUUAACCACUUGGGUUCAAUCCUGUUUUUUCACUUACUUUGGCAUUGGUUUACUUUAGGCUGACUCAACGUACUGCCACUGCCCUGCUAAUAGACUUGGGAUGUUAAUGAUACAUUAAGAACUCCAGGCUGAUGAGAACUCAGAAGUUUAUGAUAACAGGAAAACCCCUAAGAGUGACUAUGAUGUAUGAUCAACUGUUAGGAAGCCCAGUCCUGUUUUCUGCUGGCAAUUACAUCGUAUUCAACUCUAGACUCUACAUAUCUUGCUAAAUAGCCCUUAUUUUCAGUUUUACUUGUUCAGUGCUUUGCUCCAGACUCUAGUUUCCACGAAUAAAGCUAAUAAUCUGCUAACAUAACUGUAUUAUAUACAAUUAUAUAACUGCAUCCUUUUAAAAAUCCCCAAUUAUAUAGCCUGUAUAUUUAAAGGAGUUUUAUUUUUUUUACCCCAAACCUUACGGCAGUCUAGACGCAACUGAAAAUGUUUAAACAGUCGUGAUCUUUUACAGGGAUAUAUCAAAAAUGAUGUGUCAGGACAAAGACAGCACCAUGUUAGCAGACCUCUUGUUAUUCCCAUGAUGCAAAUACGAUCAAUGCAGCGUGUUCCCAGUGGAGUUCAGGGACAGCUGUGAGACCCCAAGCUGAUCCAGUUUCCUAUGAUGCUUGUGGCACUCUGCAGCACACAACAUGUUCCCCCUCCUCCUUAGGGCAGGUUCCUAUCUCAAAUGCUGGAUUAAAAUCAGCAUGUGCAAAGCUUUAUUGAAACAGUCCACGUUUUGACAGGAAGGGCUCUGAGUGUUCAUCCGAGUGACCCUGUGAUGCUGUGACAUGUUUCUCUCAGCAAUGAACACUUACUUAACAAGCCUAGAGGAUUAAACUGCACACUCCUUUCAGAGCCUACAGGUAAUCAGCAGUACUACUCUAGCUUUAAUGGGUCUGCAAAAUCUUGGCCUUUUCCUAUUUAUGUAUACAAACAUUCUAGAAAGUAGCAUCCCUUGAUGACUUAUCUCCAUUACAGUUUUGCCUCCCUAGCCAUCCAACUAUACCUCUUAAACAGCUUUGUUCUCCUUUCCAAGUACAAACACUUACCAGCAAGGGAAAUUACAUUUGGGCUGUAGUGACAUUGAGCCACAUGAAGUGAUGGCUCUGUGUUCUCCACCUCCCUACGUGUAAAACUAGAGAUACCGUGUUGUGGCAGAGAUGUAACUUUUUGUUGACUUCCCCUUCCUCCCCCCACUGAUGACUUUACAGUAAGUAAUAUUUUUCAUGACAGAAACUGAGUAACAUAACUUCAUCCUGAUAGUCCCAAGGCCUAACCUGCUUGCACUGUCAAUACAUGACUUCUAUUUACAAGCACCAACUAGUAAAAACGUUUUUCUUCGUAUAAUCUACCUAAGUAAAACCAGCUGACACAGACCCAAAUCAGUGAUGCCUGCCCUACCUGUGCGAGAAUUUCAUCCAGCCACAUGGCAUGAUGCUGUGGAUUGGCCAGCAGCCACUUGAUAGCAGCAUUGUAAACCUGCUUUUCAUUUUCUACAUUCAGGUCACUGGAGGACAACAGUUUAUGGAGGUGCUGAGGUGAGACGCUCACAAAGUCUUCACAUUCCACCACCUCAGUAAAAUGUUCACAAGCAUAUUGAUCGGCCAUGUCCAUCAGGUCAAUGCGGUUGUGGCUCUCUGCAAAUGACCUGACCGCCAGGCAGUUGGAAGGAUGGAAGUGCAGCUUCAUGUAUUCACAGCACGCCUUUGCUACCAGUUCCACCUGAAGAAUGCAAGCAGCAUACAGGAGUGGCUGGACGUUAUCCACAGUCAGUGUCAGCCGGGAGGAGUAGACAAACUUCACAAGGUCUUCUAUCGCAUCGCCAUCAAAGUCCCUGAUCUCAAUCAGCGUCUGCUUGGCUUCAGCCAUUUCUGAAAGAAACAUGGCUCUGAAGUAAGGUAUAACACACGCCAGCACCAGUUUGUGGCAGGAGAUGAGCUUUGUACCAACCUGAGAAAAAGAAAACAAAACUAUUUUAUUGAAACAUCGAUUUCAGGUAGUUUUCUUCCAGUUAUAAAAGACAGUUAAGCUGAAAAGGUAAAUUUCUGGGCCAAGUAUACAUUGAGCUUCUGUAUUUUGCUGAAACAAAUGAACUCCAUCCCCCUCAUACUGCUGACAUUAGAUUAAACAUUAGACAUUAGCACAUCCCAAGCAGAUUUCAGUUGUAACCUGACUACCUGAGUAGGGCAAGGUUGUAGCAGAAGGAAGCAGUACUUGAUUAAGCAAUACUCAAUGUUUGUACGUGCUGGCAACCACAGCUGCAAAUGGUAGUUACAAAUUUCCUGUGAUCAGGACAUAAGUAAUAGAAAGCUGAGAUGAAAAGAAUGCAUUUUAAACAACAUUGCAUAUUAAUAAAACUGGCUUCAUCCUUUUCGUUUCCUCUUUGA